rnacentral:tRNA from 1 species
GAGGGUAUAGCUCAGUGGUAGAGUGUGUGCCUUGCAAGCAUAAUCUCCUGGGUUCAAUCCCCAGUACCUCCA